CUCUCAGAAUGUACCACUCGACUCUGGCUACAAGGCCUCUGCACUACAACCGAGAAUAUCAUUCCUUUGUGAUCCGGUAAAGCCAGGUGCAACAUUUGACAUGACAAACAACAAUCAACGCGACAGCAACAGUGCAAAGUGUGUAUUAACUUAAGUAUAAGAUAAAUAAAGAUAAACAAAUAACGUUAAAGUGUUUAGGUGUGUGUUUCAAGAGACAUGUGUGUUUUAAGUUCAAGUGUAUGUUACAUGUGACGUGUGUUUAAGUUAAAAGUGCAUGUUAAAGUGACGUGUGUGGAGGAGGCCUCCAGGAGGGAAGAAGAAGAAUAUAUUGCAUUAUGUAAAAAAAAAAUUUAAAAAAAGUAUUCCCCAUGAGUCUUGAGUUAAGUCAAAUUUGCCAUCUUCAUGUAACCGAACAGGUUCCUCUCUGCCUUAUGUUUGCCGUUUGUUUUAAUUGCUUGUAGGAGUGUCCUUGUGGUUGCUUGUGUCAUUAAUAAAGUUGUUUUAAAUUCUG